rnacentral:rRNA from 1 species
GACUUACUAUUGCGAAAGCAUUCGCCAAGGAUGUUUUCAUUAAUCAGUGAACGAAAGUUAGGGGAUCGAAGACGAUCAGAUACCGUCGUAGUCUUAACCAUAAACUAUGCCGACUAGGGAUCGGGCGAUGUUAUUAUUUUGACUCGCUCGGCACCUUACGAGAAAUCAAAGUUUUUGGGUUCUGGGGGGAGUAUGGUCGCAAGGCUG